rnacentral:rRNA from 1 species
AAGAAGCACCGGCUAACUACGUGCCAGCAGCCGCGGUAAUACGUAGGGUGCGAGCGUUAAUCGGAAUUACUGGGCGUAAAGCGUGCGCAGGCGGCUUUUUAAGCCAGAUGUGAAAUCCCCGGGCUUAACCUGGGAACUGCAUUUGGAACUGGAAGGCUAGAGUGUAGCAGAGGGGGGUAGAAUUCCACGUGUAGCAGUGAAAUGCGUAGAGAUGUGGAGGAAUACCGAUGGCGAAGGCAGCCCCCUGGGCUAACACUGACGCUCAUGCACGAAAGCGUGGGGAGCAA